rnacentral:rRNA from 1 species
UGGGGAAUAUUGGACAAUGGGCGCAAGCCUGAUCCAGCCAUGCCGCGUGAGUGACGAAGGUCUUCGGGUUGUAAAAUCCUUUCGUUGGGGACGAUAAUGACGGUACCCAAAGAAGAAGCUCCGGCUAACUUCGUGCCAGCAGCCGCGGUAAUACGAAGGGGGCUAGCGUUGUUCGGAUUUACUGGGCGUAAAGCGCGUGUAGGCGGACUUGUAAGUUGGGGGUGAAAUCCCGAGGCUCAACCUCGGAACUGCCUCCAAAACUACAAAUCUGGACCUAAGUAGAGGCAAGUGGAAUUGCGAGUGUAGAGGUGAAAUUCGUAGAUAUUUGCAGGAACACCAGUGGCGAAGGCGACUUGCUGGACUUAUGGUGACGCUGAGACGCGAAAGCGUGGGGAGCAAACAGGAUUAGAUACCCAAGUAGUCCCUGAGCGGGCUGGCAAGGCGCAU